rnacentral:lncRNA from 1 species
GAGACGAUGGGGGAGCUUCACCAAGGACCCCUUCUAACCAGUCAGGCGAGGAAACUGAGGCACAUGUUACUCAGGGGCUGCUUUCAAAGGAAGAGCUUCCAGUACGCCUCUCUGUAGACACCCACCUGGAGAGCUCCCAAGUUAAGUCGGACUGCCAUGGUCAGAGGAAAGCUGGCAGGAGUAAAAGGCGCUCACUGCUGCGAUCUGAAGCAUUAAACAGAGACCCGACAGCCAGGGCACAGAGGCAUGGCCUCCUUCGGUGAACAAAAAGGAAAUGUAGCAUUUCUCCUUCUACAUGGUGGCUUAUCCCACAGGGGCUUUGAAGAAAGCCUGAAUAAGGACGCACACUUAAGGAGUCAGGGACAGGGCUAUGUCUGUACAGUGUCCGCUGAGCAAGCCCAAGACCUGAGUUCGUACCCAGAAUCCAUGGGAAGAAAGCUGGAUGCGGUGGCCUGUCACAGUAAUUUCCACACCAGGCAUGGAGACGGAGAUAGAGGACUCCCAUUUCCACCUCCAACAGGGAGCCUAGCUUCAUCAGUAGGUUCCCGGCCGGCUGAGAGACCCUACACCCCAAAAACCAAGGUUACUUUUGGUCGUGGUGCUUUAACCAUAGCAACAGAAAACAGACUACGACAAGGCAAGUGGGUUGAGCGGCUGAGCAGUCUCUCCAGCUCCCUUCUUUACGUCAUACCUUAAUUAUAUGCUCACACAGCCGUGAACAACACACCGGGCUCUGCUGCACUGAUGAGACUCAUUACACAAACACACUACUACUCAUCCACCUACA